AGAGAAUUAGUCCAACUUAAGACCUCUGAUUUCGGCUCAGAUAAUUGUGGUUAAAGUCCAUAAUUCCCUU
rnacentral:tRNA from 1 species